UACAGAGACUGCAAGCGUUAUUCGGAUUCACUGGGCGUAAAGGGUGCGCAGGCGGCCAAGUGUGUUAGGUGUGAAAGCCCGGGGCUUAACCCCGGAAUUGCACCUAAAACUACAUGGCUAGAGCAUUGGAGAGGGUAGCAGAAUUCACGGUGUAGCAGUGAAAUGCGUAAAUAUCGUGAGGAAUACCAGAGGCGAAGGCGGCUACCUGGACAAUUGCUGACGCUCAGGCACGAAAGCGUGGGGAGCAAAAGGG
rnacentral:rRNA from 1 species